rnacentral:rRNA from 1 species
UCCAGACUCCUACGGGAGGCAGCAGUGGGGAAUAUUGCACAAUGGGGGAAACCCUGAUGCAGCGACGCCGCGUGAGUGAAGAAGUAUUUCGGUAUGUAAAGCUCUAUCAGCAGGGAAGAAAAUGACGGUACCUGACUAAGAAGCCCCGGCUAACUACGUGCCAGCAGCCGCGGUAAUACGUAGGGGGCAAGCGUUAUCCGGAUUUACUGGGUGUAAAGGGAGCGUAGACGGUAGAGCAAGUCUGAAGUGAAAGCCCGCGGCUCAACUGCGGGACUGCUUUGGAAACUGUUCAACUGGAGUGCUGGAGAGGUAAGCGGAAUUCCUAGUGUAGCGGUGAAAUGCGUAGAUAUUAGGAGGAACACCAGUGGCGAAGGCGACUAUCUGGCACAUAACUGACGCUGAGGAGCGAAAGCGUGGGUAGCAAACAGGAUUAGAUACCCGCGUA